rnacentral:rRNA from 1 species
CACGUAGGAGGCGAGCGUUGUCCGGAAUCAUUGGGCGUAAAGAGCGCGCAGGCGGCUUGGCAAGUCGGGUGUGAAAUCCCGGGGCUCAACCCCGUGACUGCAUCCGAUACUGUCAGGCUAGAGGUAGGCAGGGGAGAUCGGAAUCCUGGUGUAGCGGUGAAAUGCGCAGAUAUCAGGAGGAACACCGGUGGCGAAGGCGGAUCUCUGGGCCUUACCUGACGCUCAGGCGCGAAAGCUAGGGGAGCGAACAGG